rnacentral:lncRNA from 1 species
CCUCGCGGCCUGGUUUGCACCCGCCUUUACUCGGUCCCUUUCUCUGUGGUCUUGACCAUAAUCCUGACAGCAGGUUACCUCAAGUUGUUGAGAGGCCGCUUUUUGGCUUCUGUGUUCAGAGGGAGAAGUGGCUGCCUGGGCUUUGCCAACACCCAGUCCCCUCCGGUCCCCUGUCAAAGGAGGAAUGAAACCCCACUGCCUCCUAAAGAUGUUCUGGAACUGGAAGGGGCUGUCUUGAUAUCUUUGCCCCAGAUUUCCUGAUAAACAAGGACCCUCUGCUGAGGUCAUGCCAGAUAUUGUUCCAGAAGCCAGUUCUGCAGUGGGGAUAGCCUAGCGGAGCAGGCACGCUCAGACAUGGCUGAGGUGUAGUCAGGAUGCCAGUGCCUCUAGGCCCCAGCCAUUGGCCCUCUGACUCCUCAGGUCACCGACACACACACACACACACACAUCACACCAUAUACAUGGCACACAACACACACACACAAACCAUGCACACACACACACGCAGAAACCACACAGGCCACACACACACCACACAUUCACAUACCACACACACCAUAUACACACCACACACAUACCACACAUACCACACCAUAUACACCACAUACGUAUUCACAUACCACACACAUGCACACACAGACCACAUACACCACACACACAUACACACACACAACUACACACAUACCACACCAUAUACAUGGCACAAAAACACACAACACACACAUAACACACACACACACACACAAACCACACAGGCUACACACACACACACACCACACAUACCACACCAUAUACAUGCCACACACACCACACACACACACCACACAUUCACAUACCACACAUACCAUAUACAUACCACACACAUACCACAUCAUAUACAUGGCACACAUACACACCACACACACACACACACACAAACCACACACACCAUACACACACCACACACGUACCACACGCAUACCACACAUACCACACCAUAUACAUGCCACACAUACCUCAUGCAUACCACAUAUACCACACCAUAUACACCACAGACAUUCACAUACCACACACAUGCACACAGAACACACACACACACAUACACACACCACACACUUGUACUGCAGUUGGCAGCCUGUGAUGGACUUUCUAUCAGUCCAGGCUGCAAACUGAGGCACCAC